UUUUAUUUUGAAUUAAGAAUCUCCUAAAAUUGGAAUGAUAAAGAGAUUAGCAUGGCCCCUGUGGAAGGAUGACAUGCAAAUUCCACAAAACAUUCCAUGUUUUU